CUAUAAUUAGGAUCACCUAUUUCUUCCUCUCAAUAUUGUUUGUUUUUAGUUCAGUUUUUAGCAGUGUUCAUAGGUUCCACAGAGAAUUCUCUUUAAACGUCUCGUAUCUAAUUUGGUCUUCAGUUUCAGACUAAAUUGGGCAGUUGAUCGAACGGGGAAAUGGCAAGAACUGGAGUACCCAAGUCCUGCAUAUCCAGCCUUUGCUUGUGGGUCUGGCUACAUCAUCUCCAAAGACAUUGUGCAGUGGCUGGCAAGCAACUCGGAAAGGUUAAAAACGUACCAGGGUGAAGAUGUGAGCAUGGGCAUCUGGAUGGCAGCUGUAGGACCCAAGCGAUAUCAAGAUGGUCUCUGGUUGUGUGAGAAGACAUGUGAGAGUGGCAUGCUGUCUUCCCCCCAGUACUCUCCCC